UACGAAGGGUGCAAGCGGUACUCGGAAUUACUGGGCGUAAAGCGUGCGUAGGUGGUCUGCUAAGUCUGAUGUGAAAGCCCUGGGCUCAACCUGGGAAUGGCAUUGGAAACUGGCGGGCUAGAGUGCGGUAGAGGGUAGGGGAAUUCCCGGUGUAGCAGUGCAAUGCGUAGAGAUCGGGAGGAACAUUCGUGGCGAAGGCGGCUACCUGGACCAGCACUGACACUGAGGCACGAAAGCGUGGGGAGUAAACAGG
rnacentral:rRNA from 1 species